rnacentral:rRNA from 1 species
CUACGUAGAGGGCGAGCGUUGUCCGGAAUGAUUGGGCGUAAAGGGCGCGUAGGCGGCCCGGUAAGUCUGGAGUGAAAGUCCUGUUUUUAAGAUGGGAAUUGCUUUGGAUACUGUCGGGCUUGAGUGCAGGAGAGGUAAGUGGAAUUCCCAGUGUAGCGGUGAAAUGCGUAGAGAUUGGGAGGAACACCAGUGGCGAAGGCGACUUACUGGACUGUAACUGACGCUGAGGCGCGAAAGUGUGGGGAGCAAACAGGAUUAGAUACCCUGGUAGUCCACACUGUAAACGAUGAAUGCUAGGUGUAGGGGGUAUCGACCCCUUCUGUGCCGCAGUCAACACAAUAAGCAUUCCGCCUGGGGAGUACGGCCGCAAGGUUGAAACUCAAAUGAAUUGACGGGG